GGAACAGGCAGUCUGUCAGAAACAGUCAGCUAUGGAUCACCAAAGAGAUGGGAGUGAAUGAGGCUUCUGCUGAGCAUCUGGCAGAUUAGAUCCUAUCCCUGGUUGUGCAAGAAAAGGAACUUAUAUAGCAAAGCUGGCCUGGCUUUGGGAUGUUGUUCAGGAAGCAAAUACAGCAGUUUGAGUCAGGACAGAGCAGGAAUUACAGCCAUGGGUGGUGCAAGUUCAGUAAAGGACCAGUGAAAGCUGCUGACUUGGGAAGGGCCAGCUCUAAAGGCACACGAAGGUGGAAAUUUCAAAGGGCCUUGUGAGGUUUACAUUCACAGAGCCAGUCAGUGAAGUGGGAACUGGGCAUGUGAGUCCCAGAAAAUGCCAG